GCACGCGACGAGCGUCUGCCGUCCUCUGGUACUGAGAAGAGGGUGUGCGGGCGAAGUCCCCGAGAAUGGGCCGAAGUCGCUGGGCUAUGGUGUGCCCCGGGCUGGGCAGUAACCGCCCGUUGGCUUUAUCUGCUGAAACCCGCUGAUCCUCAGUCUUGGUCCCGGCACGUGUGGCACAGCGGUCUGCAGGAGGGAGACUGAAAGCCAGAAACCAGCCCACAUCUUAACACUCUUAGACCAACGAAGGAAGACUACAGCUGAACUAUUCAAUUGUGAGCUACUGCAGUGCAGGGUCUCUGCUGAACAGUCACUCAGGCCAUGGGAGAGAGAACUCACCUGUGGGAAAUUGAUCAUCUUCACGGGAACCAUGGACUCCAGCAAUCUGCAUUACAGCAAAUCAGGGAAUGGCAUCAGGAGAGUUAAUAAGAUGCUUCAAAAAGCAACAGAUCCCGUACACCCACCGCCAACGCUUCCUGCUGACUCGUGGGGGACAGAGAGCGUUUUUAAAGGGUUACAUGAACUAAGUAAAGGCAACCGUGCCGUCGGGGGCUAUAGCUUUGCUGGGAAGGAUUCACAAACCCACUGCUGUGGGGGCCAGCCAGCCAGCCAGUUCCAGCCCUGCGUGUUCCCUGCCCACCUGGUGCGCACUUGGACGGGCUCCACGUCGAAGUAGGGUCGUAGGAUGUCGAUGUUGGCGUAGAGGCUGAAGGCCUUGGAGGCCUGCCUCUUCCCCACCUGCCACAUCUGCGGAGAGAAGGGCGCGUGCAGCGG